CCCCCCCCCCCCCCACCUCUCGUCCCACUUCUUUCUCUCAGGCUGUUACGAAGGCAUACGCCUGUCUGACGGUCAGAGGGGCUGGUUCCCCGCAGCCAACGUCAUGGAGAUCACCAACGAGCAUGUGAGGCGGCGAAACCUCCGGGAGCGCUACCGGGUCAUGCAGGCGGCGACCAUGGUCGCCGGCACCAAGGGAAACACCUUGCAUAAGGACUCGAAGAUCAAGGAUGUUUAAAGUGUGGAUACAAACGCUUGCAAAAGAAAACGAGUGUGAAGCGGGGAGUUUGGGACUGUACUACUGAGAGGGACACACUAUGUGAACGUGCACGCGUCCACUCAGUAACAGAGGUCUCCUCGUGCACGGCUACCAAACUGUCGAUGCGAACAAGCGAUUCCGACAUCGGCAUCUCAAACACGAGACCUCUUGUGACGUUGUCAUUAAAGCCAGAAUACAGGAUAAACUUUAGAAUCCAAGAAAAUAAAAAAUAAAAAAUUGUGACACUCAAGGAAUUUAACACCUCAAGAAGGUCAAAACCAAUUAGGAAGUGCCUUCGAAUGACCGGACAACACACCGGACCUUCAAUCUGCACCGAGCACAAGAGCUCUGGGAAUGCAUGUUCAUGUUUGGAACCACUAUGGAGGAAUACUGUAGCGCCCCCUGCAGCCGGUUGUCAGUAAAGACUGGAUAUUAUUUUGUGGAUGGAUCAUGUGCAAUGUGUUGUAAAUAAUGAGUGCGGGGAUGAUUAUCUCACAACAAAACACUAGUGAUUUUAUUAAAAAUGUUUUUUUUUUUAUUAGAUAAAGGCUCAAUGUUUGAUCAUUUUUAUUGAAAAAAGUGACAAGCAGAUUCUCAUUCUCGAACUUUCUGGUGAAUACCAAGAUUAAAACAUGAGCUAACGGUGCAAAGAACUGGUUUCCAUAGUGACAGUAAACUAAACCCGGGGGCAUGAAGACCCUCUGGUUCGGAUCUGCUUCUAGAUUCGGUCCCUCUCCAUCGGGCCGAAGCCGCUCAAGAGGACGUCCGCCGCCUCGAGCUCCAAAUCUGACCAACAAUCCGCGAGCGGCAGCGGACCAGCCGCUCUCGCACGUGGCACCUCGCUGCAGAGGGGCCCGAGGGCCCCCGUCAGGGUCUCCUCACUCCGGAGAGGCACUUCUUGGUGGUGCAGUUUCAGGAGAUUAGUGACGGCCUGGUCCUCCUCCUGGGUAAGCUGGACGACGAGCCGCCUCGGCCCCGCAGGAGGACGCGGAGUGUUUACCCUCAAGGAGAGGCUGCCCAGGUCCCUGGUGGGGUGCGUCCCCCAUCUGAACGGGGCGGGGCGGCUCGGUGGAGAAGGGAAUGCCGACAUGACUGGUGGUGGGGUGUUGAGGCGGAAGCAAUCGAGAACCUGAUGGAGGGAGAUGAGGAUGGAGGUUUGAAUAAAAAUGUAAAUGGUAAAAAACUGUCCAAUUACAUGAAUUGUUAUGCUUCUGUGCUGCGGUCAUUUUGUGUUGCUUUCACAAAACGAUGAUCGUUCUAAAAAUGAACAGCUUUACUGCCAAAACAAACUGCCUCCUAUUGCACUCAUCUCAAUUUCCUUUGCCGUGGACAGGCUCUAAUCUAGUCUGAGCCAAUGUUAUUAGAUGUCCCUCCACGCAGUCUGGGUUCAUAUUGAAACAUUGAGUGAAGAAUGU
ensembl:lncRNA